rnacentral:lncRNA from 1 species
AAAAAUUAUAAGUGCGGCCAUGAAAACUGCCAACAAGUAUCACGAUUCCAUUAUAGAUGAGAGAGUACACCAACGGAGAAGUCAUCAUGACAACAAGAAGGAAGCUCACAAGGACCAGGACUUGCUAGAUGUUCUUAUUUCAGCAAAGGAUGAAAAUGGGGUUCCAUUGUUAUCCAUAGAUGAGAUCAAAUCUCAAUGCAUGGUACGUUGGAUAUCUUGUUUAUUUAAUACAUUAAUUUUUAUAUUAUUAAUUGCUCAUGUUAUAUAUAAUCAGGUCGCGGUCUCGAAUUUUAAUGACAAAUUAACUGAUCGAUAAAUUAACAUAUGUACGUACUUGCAGGAUCUGACACUUGCAACAGUGGAUAAUCCAUCAAAUGCGGCAGAAUGGGCAAUAGCGGAGAUGAUCAACCAGCCUGAAAUUCUCCAAAAAGCAACAGAGGAGAUCGAUAGAGUUGUUGGAAAAGAAAGACUUGUUCAGGAAUCUGACGUCCCGCAGCUCAAUUAUAUCAAGGCUUGUUUAAGGGAAGUGCUUCGCCUUCAUCCCGUGGCACCGUUUAACCUGCCUCAUGUUUCAACUCGCGAUGCCACUAUCGCCGGUUACUUCAUUCCCAAAGGCAGUCACGUUCUGCUGAGCCGAAUAGGGCUUGGCCGGAACCCUAACGUCUGGAAAGAUCCAUUGAAAUUCAUACCUGAACGUCAUAUUGGUUCAGUGGACGAUCAUCAUCAUCAAGUAGAGUUGGCGGAAACAGAAUUAAGAUUCCUUUCAUUCAGCAGAGGAAGACGCGGUUGCAUGGGCAUGGCACUUGGGUCCGAGAUGUCUGUAAUGCUUUUAGCAAGGCUUCUUCAAGGUUUUAAUUGGAGCGCGCCAUCGGAUGAGGAGAUGGUUGACCUUUCCGAGUCAAAAUGCGACCUCCUAAUGGCUAAGCCACUGCAUGCUCGUGCAAAGCCCCGCUUGCCUGCUGAUUUAUACCCAGCUAAUAAUUAAAUGAUGUUAACCGUUCUUUAUGUUAUCUUCAUUCUUUAAUUUAAUGUAAUUCUUCAUUAUCUCACGAUUUAUCUAUCUUGAACGCUUUGCCAUCUCGAAAUACAUAUUUCUCUCUCUCCAUCCUUAUCCAAGUACAAUUUUAUGAAAUUUCUAUUCUUCUGUGCUGCCUUUUUUUUUUUUUUUUAAGUAAACAAACAUUCACCAAAACAAACUUAACAGAGAUUACUCUUAGUACAAAUGAAUUUGUAGGACAAGUUAGGUUAUUAUUUAUGACUAGAUCAAUGUCACUUCUGCAUUCCUAAUAGGAAAUUGGCACUGUUGAUUGAAGGAUAAAAAAAUCCUUUGUUGUGAUGAAAGCAAAUCCAGAAACUCAAAACAACAGAGGAUCUUGUGUUUUGAAGCUGGAAUCACUUAAGCCAAACGACAGAGAUACGUGCGUUUUGAUGAGCAAGUUAAACACUCUUCAGAACGAUAUACAGGUAGGAGUAGGCAAAAAAAGCUGAUUAAUCAAAAACCGAACCGAACCAUUCGGUUCGGUUCGGUUUUUGUGCGGUUUUUUUACAUCUAAAAAACCGAAUAAGUAAUAUAAUGAAAAUAGUAAAACCAUUCGGUUCGGUUUAAAAAAAAACCAAAAAACCGAACCGAAUAACAAUCCAGUAAUCCCUAAAGUCUAAACUAAACACCACUUAUGAUCUUCAGCCGAAACCGAACUUGUGACCUUCAGCUGCUGGAAUCUCGUCCCCAUUGCUCGUCGCCGCCGUUGCUGCUCGUCGCCGAGUCUCCGCCGUUGCUACCACGUGCUGCAGCCGCUGUCAUGUGAGUUUAGGACAAGUGCAUAGAUACAUGUGGUCACUUGAUCUACUCUGUGAGCCAAUAGUUAUAUUAAUGUUGGUGGAAAUAAUUAAUUAAUUGCUAAAGCUAACAAUUAGAUUAUUAGCACUCCACCUCCACUUUCUUGACAAAGUGAAUUUGUGUAGGUGCAAAGCAUUUUCUUUUUGUUGUUGUUUAUUGUUAUUGUUAUUGUUGCUGCUAUUGUUAUUAUGAUUGAUAGAUUAUGAAUGAUUUAUGCACAAGGUAAGAGCACUUUCUUCAAUGAAGAUGUUGAACUUUUCCAACAGGCAAAAGAAAAAAAAAAAAGACCAAGGUGUUGAGAAAUGUGAAAGGUCUGAUAAAGCUACUCAUGCUUGUAUUCUACAGAGGGUUCAACCAAUUUCCAAAAACCUUCAUCCAAUCCAUUUUAUUGUUUGCUUGCAUAAUUCAUGUGAUUGAAGUGAUUUUGAAUUUUUUUUUUUUUGGAUAAAUGUUUAUAGCUUUAUAUGUCACUGAACCUAUCUAAUAUUUUCAGAUUUUAAGAAAAAAAAAAUAUAGAAAGCUAUUUCUCAUGUUCACAUGUUAAACUAUCUUGUGGUGACAUGAGAAUUCAGAACUAUAAUGUUCGAACGGGUCAAGAGGUGAUUUUAUUAUAGAACUUUAAUACUAUUUUUCUGUUUGAAUAAAUUGCUAAAGUUAAUUCAUGAAUCAUGUAGAGUAUAUAAAAGUUAAUUCAUGAAUCAUGUAGAGUAUAUAAAAGUUAAUUCAUUAAUCAUGUAGAAUAAAUUGCUAAAGUUACUACUCUCUUAGUAAAUUAUGAAUAGAUAUAUCUCCUUAAUAUUAAUAGGGUGGACAUAUUAAUAUAAACGAUCACAAAUUUGAGUUGUGCCGCAAUGUCAUAAUAUUUUUUAUUUUGUAAUCCCCAAGAUUUUUUAUUUGUUGUUGCUGUUGUGUUGUUUGUUGCUGUUGUGGUAUUGAUUUUUUGCUGCUGAUUUUUGAUUUGCCACAAUUUUGCAUGAACGAUUUUGUGUUUGUGUAGAAUGAAAAAUUAUGAUGAGGAGGAAGUGCAAGAGGCGGAGGUUGAUGAUGGGAAAAAAAGAAAAAUGCCUUUGAGAUCAAAUGUUUGGGCUCAUUUUACCAAACUACCUUGUGGAAACAAAGGAAAAUGUCAUCAUUGCCGUAAAACCUUUGCAGCUAAUAGAGGAAAUACCACUAAUUUGAAGAAUCAUUUGGAUAAAUGUAGGUCAUAUCAAGAUGUGAAGGUUGAAGGGGAUCUGAAGCAACAAGUACUUUUCCGUCAAAAGGGAAAAGAUAAAGAUGAUGGAGUUGUUAAAGUUAGUAGCGGGUUUAGUCAAGAGGCUUGUAGAAUGGCACUUGUAAAGAUGAUUGUCAAGGAUGAAUUACCUUUUAGCUUUGUGGAGGCUGAAGGGUUUUUAGAGUUUAUGCAAACUUGUUGCCCAAGAUUUGAUGUGUCAUCGCGAAGAACAAUUACAAGGGAUAUUCUUGAAUUGUAUCAGUAUGAAAAAGGGUUGUUAAAAAGUGUUUUGGGUGCAAGCAAGCAAAGGGUGUGUAUUACCACAGAUAUAUGGACAUCAAUUCAAAUGUCUAACUACAUGGUCAUUACUGCUCAUUUUAUUGAUGCGGAGUGGGUGUUGCACAAAAGGAUUCUUAGUUUCACACCUAUAGCUAAUCAUAAAGGAGAUGGUAUUGGGAAGCUAAUUGAGACAUGUUUGAUUGAUUGGGGGAUUGAGAGGUUGUUCACAAUUACAGUGGACAAUGCAAGUGCCAAUAAAGUUGCAAUAAUUUAUGUGAAGAAGAAGUUAGCAAAUUGGAGUGUGAAUUCAAUGGUUUUGAAUGGUUUAUAUAUGCAUGUGAGGUUUUCGGCAUACAUAAAAAAUUUGAUUGUGCAAGAUGGGUUGGCGGAGGUGAAUAAUUCAAUAGCUAGUAUUCGCAAUGCAGUAAAGUCUGUUAGAUCCUCUCCAGCAAGAUUGCAAAAGUUUAAAACAUGUGUUGAUAUGGAGAAAAUCUCAUAUGAAGGGCUUAUGGUGUUGGAUGUGCAUACUAGAUGGAAUUCAACAUAUUUGAUGUUGCACAAAGCGGUUGUGUUUGAAAAAGCAUUUGAUAGGAUGAAGGAAGAUGAUGGACAUUAUGUUAAUUGGUUUGUUGAGGAUGAGGGUGAAAAGAAGAUGGAGGGGCCACCGAGCAAUGACGAUUGGGGAAAUGCAAGGAGGUUAGUCAACUUUUUAUCGGUUUUUUUAUUAUGUGACCUUGAAAUUUAGUAGCUCUCUUGAUGUCACUUCCAAUGAUUACUUAAAUGAAAUGGCAAAAGUUCUAAUUCAUUUGAAGUCACUUGCUACUUCUAGUGAUGAUUUGUUGAGGAAAAUGGCCGAAAAAAUGGAACAAAAGUUUGCUAAAUAUUGGGGUGAUUCUUUUGAUCAGGUUAACAUGCUAUUAUUUGUAGCAAAUGUGCUUGAUCCUAUAUGUAAAUUGAAGUUUGUUACAUUUUGUUUUAGUAGCAUGUAUGAAUCUAGGAAGGUUGAAGAAUUGAAAUCUAACAUUAAGGAGUUGUUGAUGAAGCUAUAUAAUAGCUAUAUUGGUGGGAGUGAUGUGAGGAAUAGUGGUGGUGUUUGUUUUGGUGAUAUCCAUAAUGGUAGUAGUGGUGGUGGUGGUGGUGGUACUAGUAGUAGUAUAAUGUCAAUUGAUCUUUUUUCAUCUUUCAAAAGAUGAAGCAAAGUUCAAAUGAUGACAUUAGUUCGAAAAAUGAUGUUGAAAAGUACUUGAUGGAUGCUAAUGAGAGUACUAGUAAUGCCCAUUUUGAUAUUUUGACUUGGUGGAAGUUGAAUGGGCAUAGGUAUCUGAUUUUGUCUCAAAUUGCCAAGGAUGUUUUGGCAAUUCCAGUGUCUACUGUAGCUUCAGAAUCGGCAUUUAGCACAAGAGGGUGUGUUCUUGAUCCUUUUAGAAGUUCUUUAACUCAUAAAACUGUUGAGUCAUUGAUUUGCACUCAAAAUUGGCUUCGCUCAACUCUAUUAGGAGAACAGAUAAUACAACCUACUCAGGAGGAAACUGAAUUCUAUAAAGUUAUUGAAGCAGGUAAUAUGUUACUACUAUAUUUUGAUAUGUUGUUUUGGUUAUUUCACUCUUAACUAAUCGUUCUAAUAUUUUUGUUUAAUUUGUUAAUGUAGAAUUUGGUAGGCCAAUAGUAGCUCAACAAGAACAAGCAGCUGAGGAGUAAUUGGGAUUUGGGAGUUGAUUGAUGUUUAUUGCUUUUGUAGUUUUGUUAAAGUUUAAAAGACUUUUUGCUUAUUUAUUUUGAUUUGAACUUGUUAUUUGAACAUGUUAUGUGUUCUUGAACAUACUUUGAGACAUAUUUUGAUUUUUUGUUUGUCAACUUUUUAUGUUUGUGGUAGAUUUAUUAAUUUAAGGUUUUAAAUUUUAAAAAGCCUAAAAUAGGCUCAAUAGGCCCAUAAUCGAACCGAAUCGAAUCGAAUUAUUUCAAUUAAUCGAAUAUUUUAUUAUUUCGGUAAUUUGAUUAAUCGCGAUUAUGAUUUUAAAAUAAUCGUAAUCGAACGAUUAUGAAAAAUUUAGUAAAAAACCAAACCGAACCGAACCGAACCACGCCCACCCAUAUAUACAAGCUUGCCGUUUACCCUUAAGUGAAGCAUGCGAACAUCACGUGCUUGUAUCCAGCUCACAAGGUUCGUUAAAUGCCGUUAAAGCACGAGGAACUCACGUGAGUUGCUGGGGAAGUUCUGGGUUCGUUAUGAAGCAGCUGAUUCUGGUGCAACGGAUUCAAGAGGAUAGAGAGCUGUAGAGAGAGAAAGGGCUGGUAUAAAUAAACAGUCCAUAUCUUAUGUAAAGGCUCAUAGCAUUACUCUAUAAAUCAUCUUGAGAAUCAAUCAAAGCUGGUCAUAUUUGCCCUCCCGUGGAUGUAAGCUAGAGAGAUCUAGCUGAACCACGUUAAAUCUCUCUUGUUUUUUGUCCAUUCUAUAUCUUUUGUUUUCUUAAUUCUAGUCGGUUAAUUGCCACAUUCCAUUGAUUAAUCUUAGUCAAGUUCUUCAGUUAUCAAUCUUGAAGCAUCUUGAUAAAUUUGGUUGGUGAUCUUGGGCAGGAUCUAAGGUUGCUUGAUCUGUUUAUAGCACCUUAGGUUCUACAUCCUUCAAUAGACCGGAUAAUAUAAAAGAAGUAACGGUUUGAAUUAAACCUGAUUCUUCUGAAUGCGUGAGAUUCCUUCUCAUCUUCAACAUUUUCUCCGCAGAUUAUCAUAACUUGAGCGUGUACUUGCGAAGGCAUUCCAAUGUUCUUGUUAGUUUUGUGUUUAGCGAAUUCUAGUAAAUUUGGAUAUGGUUUUCUCUGUUAUGAGUGAAAAAAUAGCUAAAAGUCUCUUCUUAAUCCUUUUGACUUGCAUUUAUAGAUCGAAAAGAGUGGACUCAGCAAGUGAUUUGAUUUUAGAUAUAAAUCUCUAUCUUUUCUUGUUUUUACUAUAUUUUAAACCAUUAGAUUUUAUAACCUUUUUUUGGGUGUGUUCAAGUUUUCUGACAUAUGAUGUUAUUAGUGAUCAUGUGUGCUUAUUAUUACAUUUUUUUCAUUAGAUCAGCAACCUUUUCCGAGUUUCGUAUGGCUUGUUGUGUAAUUUUUUAUGUGAUCACAUCUUAGUUUUACUCUAAUUUGGAUCCGGAGUAAUCUCACUUGUUCUUAGAUAUAUUUCGUAAAAUAUUUUUAGACAUAUGGCUAAAUAUUUUGGCACUUGCAUUUGCUAUUUUCAUUAUUUAUUUCUAUAUUAUAUUGCUUGUUCUGUCUUUUACUCUCUUUUUUUUGCAAUAUUUUUGCUACUAAUGUUUUGAACGAUUAAAGUUACUACCCUGUGCCAUUUAACUAGACUGUUGGUCUUAUUCACGCACAUCAAUAUUUUGGUUAAUGUUGCGAUAGAACGCACACCAACAGGUUCACCCCAAGGAUUCUUGAAAUUGGAUAACACAUUAACUCCUUUUUGUUUGUAUGAUAGAUUUAUUUUCAAUUGAGUUUGUUGUAACCUCUAUUUCACUCAAGGAUUUUGUGUACAUAUAAACCUCCCCAUAAACUGAUUGUUAUGAAGAAACGUUGUUCAAUGUACCAUAGGAAUACCUUUAUGGCUUAUAACGAAAUAAAUUAACUGGUACAGCAAAAACUGGAGCAUGAAAUUGAACCCACAAAAAAAAACUAUGAAAUAAUUCAAGGUAUGUGCUUCUUGGCAGUGAGAAAUAGAGAUGUCAUGGCCAUACGUGGAUGAGUUUUUCUAUGAUAUCAUAAGCCUAACUCAUACUCAAAAUAUAGUUCUUUUUCUCAAUUGACAUUGGAUGAUUUUCCUAUCAUCCCUAACUACAUGCAGGGUGGUCAUUUUUAUUAGUCCCUCUCAUCUAGUAAAAUAGUGUGAGUCCACUCUUGCAAGAUUUUGGUUAUGAUACUAUAUAGAAGUCCAUGGCAUAAUCCUUGUCAUAUGAAAAGGAUUAUAUAAAUAUCUAACGGUUCAUUACAACUAAUAUGAGAUUUUUCUCUUAACACCCUCUGUCACGUGCAAGUUGGUCUUUUUACAUAAUCCUUGUCAUAUGAAAAGGUAGCGUGAUUCAACUUGUGGAUGAGUUUGGCAUCGAUAGCACAUAGAAGCUUGUGUCUAAUUCAUACUCAAAAUUCAGCUUAUAAAUUGAACAUUAUCUCAAACUUAUAAGAAUUAAACAGGCCAAAAGUAAGUUGUCUUAUAUGAAACUACAAAUAUUUUUCUAUAGUACAUUAUCUUAUAAAUUUAGUAAAAUUUUAUUUAGCCCAUCUGUCUGAACUCGGAACUACCAAACUUAGUUUACUCAAAAUGAUCAAUUUAUUGAGAUUUUCCUAUUGUGUAACACAUAUUAAAAAAAAAAAUUGGUGCUGCAUGUUUCAACGACUCGUCUGAGCUGACCUUCCCAUAUAUGAUAUAAUUAAUACAUUAUAGUCUUCCCAAAUAAUUAUUCUAAAUUUUUCAUAGUAAAUUACUUGAUAACUUGCAUAGUUUCCAGUCAAAUUAGACCGAAGAAGUAAAUAUAAUUCCUUCCCAUAUAUGAUAUAAUUAAUACAUUAUAGUCUUCCCAAAUAAUUAUUCUAAAUUUUUCAUAGUAAAUUACUUGAUAACUUGCAUAGUUUCCAGUCAAAUUAGAUCGAAGAAGUCAAUAUAAUUCCUUCAAAAAGUUAAAAAAAAAAUUACGUUCUUGGUAAUUACACUGCUUUCAAUUUUAUCAAGCUGACAACUAGGAAAUAAGUGUCUACGAAGGACUCAAUAUUAAGUGAAUAAUCAACUCCACGUGUUCUUGUGGUCAAAUAAUAUGUGCUUGAAUACAAUUGAGUUAACAAGAUCUAUGCCAUGACUAAAUGUGAUCUUUCUGAUCUGUACAUUAAACAAUGAAAAAUUAUAUUCAACCCAUCAAUUAGCGAGACUCACCUCAAUCCCACCAAAGCGAUUUUAUUGUGCAAAAUUUUGCCAUCAAUUCAAAAGUUAGAGUAAUUUUAUUAUUAUUUUAACUUCUGUUUACUCUUCAUAUGGGAUUGCUGGGGUUGGAGUGAGCUCCUUCUCACUAUCAUUACUCUAAAUUAACCAAUUCAGCUCUCAUGCAUGCCCACGUCAAUUUUCUUAGCGCAAGUGACGGGUUUCAUUUUUCUUAAUAAAGUUUUCACUUCUAUCAAUUCUACACAAUUAUUUCAAGUAUAAUAUAUUGUAUAUAUUUGCUUUACUUCGACAAGUUGAUCCUUUUCUUGUGUAUAAAUCACAUUGUAAUAAUUAAUUAUUUCGAGAAAGAGUCACAGCAAGAAGUUUUUCCAUAACCAAGAGUUCAGAGAUUCAUUGCUUUUAAUUGUAUCAAGAUUCAAGCCGACAACUUUGAAAGCGAAAUGUCAUAAGAGUCUCAACUUCACCGAAGGAAUCAAUAAUUACUAUUUAAUGCCACUAGUUCUUACUUAUUCAAAUUAUUAGUUCUUGACUAGUUGAAAUCUGUACCAUGUGUCUAAUGGAUAUUGCACAGCAUAUUCAACAAAUCUCAUGCCCAUAUCAUUUUUUUUUUAACCCUUUCACUUAGUCCAAAAUUAGCCCUAUACUAAACAAAUGCACCCAACCACCGUUGCAGUGGCCGGCCGUCGAUCCCCUCAACCAAGCACUAUAAUAUAGACUUUAGGCAAAAAUAUAUUAUAUUUAAACGACGAAUGCAAUUUCGGUGGCUAAAACCUUUGUCAUGACGAUUUAUUUUAUGCCAUACAAUUAACUAUACCUUGACUAACUUGCAAUUUUCAUAUAAUUAAAUAUACCUUGACUAGCUUGCAAUUUUCAGAGACUAAGUUUGAAGUUUUAAACCAACAUAAUGUUGGCUCCACUGGCAAUGGAGUCCCCUUAAGUGGCUUGACUGGGUUUGCUCCCCAGUUCGAGUCGCAGGGAAGUCGCCUUUGUUGGGAGAACCUGUGCCUCCCGGUUCGAGCAGAGACUUCUAGUCUAGGUUGUGAUACGGGCUUAAAAGUGUCUCCUACAGUUGGGGCCCUCCUCAGGAUACCUCGUGAUUGAUAAAAAAAAAAAAAAAAAAAAAGUUUGAAGUUAAAAAAAAAAAAAAAAAAAAAAAAGGCUUCUUGUUGCAAAGCGCAUCGUUUUCAUGCAGCUUGAAGCAAUUAAUCACCUCAGGCAAGUACAACGGCGACAAGGUGCAAAAAACGAUGACCAGUUCAAAUUCACAAUUAAUUUGGUCACUCCAAAUGUCGCAUCAUUAAUUCUUUUCCGACAAUUUUCAGUCAACUCCCUUCUACCAACCAUCAUCUGACUUGUCGUUGGCUAGAAUCCACCAAAAGCCCUUAAGAGUGGGGUCCGCCUAAGUUACAUUCAGCGUAACUUACGGCUGACCCCCAAAAUAUCAAUUAGCCACAUAUGCUCUAUAUUAUUUACAAUUUAUUCAUAAGAAUUAUAAAACCUUUUGUUUUGUAAAAUGUCGUUGAGCCUCUUAUACUCUGUUUUAUUUUAUUGAAAUCUUUAUUAGAGUAUUAAUUCACUCCCUAUAAUUUUAAAUUUCCAAAAUACCUUCCAUUUAAUUAAAAAAUAUAAUAAUAAUUAAAUAGAUUAUAAUUAUAAUAAUCUAAUCUAAUUAAAUAGAUAAUAAUAUAAUUAUUAUAAUUAUAAAUAUAAUUAUAAUUUUUAAAUGGAUUAUUAUUAUUAUUAUUAACAACAAGAAUAAAAAGUAUUAUAAUUAAUUAAUCUAUUAAUAAUAAUUUUUAGUUAAAAUGUCAAUAAUAAUAAUAAUUAACAAUAAUUACUAUUAAUAAUUAAUUUUUGAAUAAUAAUAACAAUAACAAUAAUUAUAAUAAAAAAUAAUAAUUAUAAUAAAAUUAAUUAAAGAUUUUAUAAUAAUUUGUUACUAUUUAACUCAUUCCGAUAUUUAUUAUAAGACAAAAUAAACACAUAAAUUGUAAUAUAGUUUAUUCUAAUUACGAUUCAUGCAGUUCAAGUACAUAAAUUAUUCUGAUUCCAAUUCUUCAUUUUAAUUAUAGUUAUUCCAAUUCUAACUCAUUAUGUUUCCAGCUAAUUUCGAUUCCUUUUUAAUAAAUGCACUAUAAAAUUGUAAAUCACUUUAUAUUCAAUUAGACAACUCUAUAUUAUUUACAGUUUUUUUUAUAAGUAUUAUGAAUUUUAUAGUGCAUUCACUAAAUAUGAAUAAAAAUUAACUGAAAACAUAAUAAGCUAAAAUCGAAAUAUCUAGAAUUCAAAUGAGAAAUUGGAAUUAGAAUAAUUUAUUUACUUGAACAGCAUGAAUCAUAAUUAGAAUGAGUUGUAUUACCAUUUAUGUGUUUACUUUGUCUUAGAAUAAAAAUCAGAAUAAAUUAAAUUGUAACAAAUUAGUAUAAAAUCCUUCAUUAAUUUUUAUCAUAAUUAUUAUUUUGUAUUUUAAUUAUUGUUAUUGUUAUUAUUAUUCAAAAAUUAAUUAUUAAUAGUAAUUAUUGUUAAUUAUUAUUAUUUUAACUAAAAAAUUAAUAGAUUAAUUAAUUAUAAUACUUUUUAUUCUUGUUAAUAAUAAUAUUAUUAUUAAUAAUAAUCCAUUUAAAAAAUAUAAUUAUAAUAAGUAAUUAUUAUAAUUAUAAUUAUAAUUUAUUUAAUAAUAAUUAUAUUUUUUAAUUAAAUGUAGGGUAUUUUGGGAAUUUAAAAGUAUAGGGGGCAAAUUGGUACUCCAAGAGUUUGAUUAAAAUAAAACAGAGUAUAAGGAGCUCAACGAAAUUUUACUAGACAGAAAGUUUUGUAAUACUUAUAAAUAAUUGUAAAUAAUAUAGAGUAUAAGGGGCUGAAUAAUAUUUUCCUCUAAAAGAGUGAAGAUGUGGAAGUGCCUUAGUGGUUCUAGGAUAUCGACAAGAAAUUAAUUAAGAUACCAAUAUAAUGUUUGGUCAAAUUUUUAGCUUUCCUUUUUAUCUUUUAAAUCUGGCAAAAAGUAUCACAAUAAAAUAUAUGGGUUAUUUUAAGGGACCUCCCCUGAAAUUUAGUGUAUUUACAAUCGGAUAGAAAAUAUGUAUUUAAUUACAGGGAUCUCCCAUGACGUUAGUAUUCAAAUACAUAUGGCAUCAGUAUGUAAGGAUAAAUAUGUAAAAAUAUAUUUAAAAUUAAAAAAAAAUCAAAAGCGAGAUGAUUUUGUUGAUUCGGCCCUUUCAUAGCCCUUCAAAGGAGCCAACAUCAUCGGAACCCUCACCGCUCUCGACGCCAAAGUCCGCUGGUGGUCCUGCAAUAUCUUCUCAACCCAAGACCACGUGGCCGCCGCCAUUGCACGUAACUUUGCCUCCGUCUUCGCUUGGAAGGGCGAGACCCUCUAGGAGUACUGGUGGUGCACGGAGAAAGCUCUGGACUGGGGUCCCGGCAGCGGCCCAGAUCUCAUCAUUGACGACAGUGGUACGACAUGUUGUUGAUCCACAAGAGAGUCAAAGUUGAGGAGAUCUACGAGAAGACCCGGAAGCUACCCGACCCGGCCUCCACCGACAACGCCGAGUUUCAGAUUGGUUGUACCAGAUGCAAGAAAAUGGAACCCUCUUGUUCCAUGCCAUCAAUGUCAAUGACUCUGUCACCAAUAGCAAGGUAAUUUACUUUGAUUUGCUUCAGAUCUCAAAUUCAUCGUCACACUAGCACAAAGUGAGUGGCACAUGAUCUCAAAGAAAAGAUUGAAAACGAGGACAUGAUUAUAUUCGAAGACACGGUACCGGUAACGAUGAGCGUAGUUUUCAAAAAGAACGCGUACGUGUUUCGACAAUUUGCAUGCUUAUUCGUCAACCUAAUUUCAGUUCUGACGUCAGCUCUCUGAUACUACGGCAUGCUCCAGCGGCGUCGAUCCACUGUGUUAUACGGCAGCAGGUACCACAAUUACUUCCCCACGUCAUCAUCAAUGGCUGCCGUUCGACAUGAUCGAUAGAUCAUUAAUUUAAUCAUCUUCAUUUUUUGACGUGAUUGAUGAUCAAUUUUCUUGUUUUGUUUUCCACCGAUGGUUUGAUGAGAGCUACUGAUGUUAUGAUUGCUGGAAAUGUUGCUAUUGUUUGCGGUUAUGGUGAUGUUGGCAAUGGUUGUGCUGCUACUUUGAAGCAAGCCGGUACUUGUGUAACUGUAACUGAGAUUGAUCUGUACUAGGAUGUGGUUUAAAUUUUGUAGGAGUGUGUGUUUGGGUGGUGGGAAAGUUGGAGGAAAGAAACAGAUUAGUUUCAGUUGAUUGAAGACCAUUUGGGAUUUGAAUAAGGUUAUGGAUGGGGCUGCGUGGAUCUUUUUGUAUUUGAUGCAGUUUUAAAGUUUUGCUUGCUUUGCUGCAUCUUGUUAUCCUAUUGUUUACUGAUGAAUGAUUAAAAAAUGUUUUUGUUUGGAGGUCAAGAAAAAGUGAGAGGAAGCGAGAGAAAAUUUCAAUGAAAAUGGAGAACCAGUCUGAAAAGAAACUUAUUAUUUUGAGGGGAAUGGUACUUUUGUAAUUUUAACGGUCUACUAACAGUCAAAUUAACUGGAUACUAACGGCAGGGGAGGUGCUUGUAAUUACGUGAAUACUUUCUAUCCGAUUGUAAAUACACUAAACUUCAGGGGAGGUCCCUAAAAAUAACCCUAAAACAUAUUUAUCUUGCUUAGCUUUGUUUGGGCUACUUAUUGUACCAAAAAAAAAAGAUAUUUAUCUAUUCUUCAAGUUAUUCCCUUAAAAAAAAAGAGAAAAAGAAGAUUUAUGGCUAUAAUAGCCAUUAUAUAUAUAGUCACAGCGUAAAAUCUAUCGAAUGCAUAAACUAUGCUUUUCUUUCUUUUUUCUUAGAGAUCACUCCUCCACUGUCCACCCACCAUCGUCGCACAAUCCAUCGAUUAUUCUAUCAACCAAGAUAACAAUCAACCCGCCCAUCACAGCCAAUAUUGAAGAUGUGAAACCACCUUGAAGGAAUGAAGCAUGACUACAUAAAAAAAAAAAAUGAUAAAAGAAAGCAAGAUAUAAUAAACUGUGAGAAUAGAACCAGAAUAAUGAUAAUCUUAAUAAAAUGAUAAUUUGAAUUUUUCUUUUCUUGUUGCCAAUAUUGAAUCUCCCCUCUAAUUAAUUAACUAUCUGUGGAAUAUAUUCCUUUCACUAGAAGUCAUGAGAACUUCAUCAAGGAAUUAAAAUAAGUUUUGUAAUAGACUGUUGGCCAAUGAUGACCGAAGACAAAUCGCCACAUGACUAAUUUUAAUUCUUAGUAUAGAUACAGACGAAUUAUGUGUCAAGUUGCAUGCCGAAAACGUUGUACAUGAGUUUUUUUUUUUUAUAUUAAUCACGAGGUAUCCUGGGGAGGGCCCCAACUGUGGGAGGCACCUUUAAGCCCGUACCACAACCCAGACUAGAAGUCCCCGCUCGAACCGGGAGGCACAGGUUCUCCCAACAAAGGCGACUUCCCUACGACUCGAACUGGAGAGCAAACCCAGUCAAGCCAAUUAAGGGGACUCCAUUGCCAGUGGAGCCAACACUUUGUUGGUACGUUGUACAUGAGUUUCGUAGAACUUGACAACCCCGUACCACCCCUCUAUAUAUAAUGACGAAUGGAGAACCCCCUCUUCAUUCAAUCAAUAUCCAUCAAGAAUAAUAUUAAUUGCUUUUUUGUUUUGAUAGCCACAAAUCGUUUGGCUUUACUGUUGAAUCCAAAAAUUGCCUUCAUUAAUAUUAUGGAUUUCCUUUCUUAUCUUGAAGAUAAUCCCAUUUUUGAAUCCACAUAUAUUGUUCGGGUGACACUACUUGUUGCCGUUGUUACACUAAUAAGCUUUCAGCUGAAAUCCGAAACUAUUCGGAAGUAUGUGAUGGACAUGUAUUCAUUCGUUCAGAAUCAACUGUUCAAGGUAUGUUAUAUUUAUUUUUCGAUUUCCCUUACUUAUUUAUUAGGAACAAUAAUUGUAUAUUUUUAUUCAACAUAUAAACUAAUUUGAUUGAAAAUGAAUGAAUUUGUCCAGCAGAGUACGGACCAGAAAAGAAUGAAGCAACCACCUCUGCCCCAGGCCCGGCUGCGUGGCCAAUAGUCGGGAACCUUCCAGAGAUGUGGAGGAAUAAGCCGACCUUCAAAUGGAUACACAGUGUGAUGAAAGAACUUAACACCAAUAUUUCUUGUAUUCGCUUUGGAAAUGUUCAUGUGAUUCCAGUGACUUCCCCAGAAAUUGCCUUGGAAGUUCUAAAAGAUAACGACUCAAUUUUUGCAACGAGGCCGCUCACAAUGGGGACAGAGUACUCUAGCCGUGGAUUCCUGUCAGUGGCAGUCGUGCCAUGGGGUCAACAAUGGAAGAAGAUGAGAAAGAUGGUUGCUUCUCACGUGUUGAGCUCAGCCCGACUUAACUCCUUAAUCUCUAAGAGAAGAGAAGAAGCUGACAAUCUUGUGCGAUUCAUUUAUAACCAAUGCCGCGAAAGUGCUUCUGCCGCAGCAGUUGUAGAUGUAAGACUUGCAACCCGCCAUUAUUGCGGGAACGUUAUUAGGAAGAUGAUGUUCAACAGGAGAUACUUUGGCGAAGGAAAAGAAGAUGGAGGGCCCGGAUUUGAAGAAGAAGAACACGUUGAAUCACUCUUCGUUGUACUCCAACACCUUUAUUCCUUCACUCUUUCAGAUUACGUUCCCUGGAUGAGACUCUUCGAUCUAGAAGGCCAUGAAAAGCUUAUAAGUGCGGCCAUGAAAACUGCCAACAAGUAUCACGAUUCCAUUAUAGAUGAGAGAGUACAACAACGGAGACAUCAUCAUGACAACAAGAAGGAAGCUCACAACGACCAGGACUUGCUAGAUGUUCUUAUUUCAGCAAAGGAUGAAAAUGGGGAUCCAUUGUUAUCCAUAGAUGAGAUCAAAUCUCAAUGCA